ACUGUGAGAUGCCGAUGUGAAAACACAGCGAUGAUCGGUGAGAGGAAAAAUGUCAACCUUCCUGGUGUCGUGGUGGAUCUUCCCACACUCACUGAGAAGGAUAAAGAAGACAUCUUGGGAUGGGGAGUUCCCAACAGUAUUGAUAUGAUUGCUCUUUCCUUUGUACGCAAAGGGUCUGAUCUUGUCAAUGUUCGUAAGGUCCUCGGUCCCCAUGCUAAGAAGAUUCAAUUGAUGUCAAAGGUGUGUUAAAUCUGUUUCCCCUUUCAAUUAUGAUUUAAAAACGAGAGGUUCUAUGUGGUUUCUCUAUGCAAUUUGAUUUCUAAUGAUGCGAGGUUUCCUUGUGGUUGCGAUUCAUUUAGGUUGAGAAUCAGGAGGGUGUUAUCAACUUCGACGAGAUCUUGCGUGAGACUGAUGCAUUUAUGGUUGCCCGUGGUGACCUUGGAAUGGAAAUUCCGGUUGAGAAGAUCUUCCUAGCACAAAAGAUGAUGAUAUACAAGUGUAAUCUUGCAGGCAAGCCUGUUGUUACCGCCACUCA
rnacentral:lncRNA from 1 species